UACGGAGGAUGCGAGCGUUAUCCGGAUUUAUUGGGUUUAAAGGGUGCGUAGGCGGGAUGCCAAGUCAGCGGUAAAAUUGAGAGGCUCAACCUCUUCCCGCCGUUGAAACUGGUGGUCUUGAGUGGAUGAGAAGUACGCGGAAUGCGUGGUGUAGCGGUGAAAUGCAUAGAUAUCACGCAGAACUCCGAUUGCGAAGGCAGCGUACCGGCAUCCAACUGACGCUGAGGCACGAAAGCGUGGGGAUCAAACAGG
rnacentral:rRNA from 1 species